UUCACGUGUUGCAGCUUGUAGACUUGCAGUAACAUUCAGUUUAUUCUAGAUUCUAGACAUAGCACAUAGUCAAAUCUUUUAAUACUGCAUAAGUAACGAAUUUAACGAUUGUGAGAUGAGUGUGGACGUGGAGCCUUCAAAGUCAAAAGAUGAUAGACGUAGGCCUACGCCUACCAUUGAUUUAACUGAGAGUCAACCUGCACUGGCAGAAAAGAAGAAAUAUGUAGUAUUUGUCCCACCACUAACAAUGUUUCACUUUGUGUAUUUGGUUUACUCUUUCAUACCAAAAUACAAGAGGAAAAAUUCAGACGAUCGAUUUGAUCGACGUCGAUCAUCAA